rnacentral:rRNA from 1 species
AUUGAACGCUGGCGGCAGGCCUAACACAUGCAAGUCGAACGAGUGGCGGACGGGUGAGUAAUGUCUGGGAAACUGCCUGAUGGAGGGGGAUAACUACUGGAAACGGUAGCUAAUACCGCAUACCAUCAGAUGUGCCCAGAUGGGAUGAGCUAGUUGGUGGGGUAACGGCUCACCAAGGCGACGAUCCCUAGCUGGUCUGAGAGGAUGACCAGCCACACUGGAACUGAGACACGGUCCAGACUCCUACGGGAGGCAGCAGUGGGGAAUAUUGCACAAUGGGCGCAAGCCUGAUGCAGCCAUGCCGCGUGUAUGAAGAAGGCCUUCGGGUUGUAAAGUACUUUCAGCGGGGAGGCGUUACUCGCAGAAGAAGCACCGGCUAACUCCGUGCCAGCCGCCGCGGUAAUUC